CUCGAUAAGGGCAAACCGGUAGAGAUGCCGGGGCGCAAAGCAAAGGGCCUUUGGCCCGCUGGGAUCACGCAAGUGAACUGGUGGGCCGAUGGUAGCCUGGCUGCCGAAA
rnacentral:ncRNA from 1 species